AUCUUUGCGCUUGGGGCAAUGACGCAGCUAGUGAGGUUAUAACCGAGGCGCGUCAAUUGCUGGUUGAAAACUAUUUCCAAACCCCCUCUUAGGCCUAGGUCUUGCCUAGGCCUUUGAGAAUUUCUGGAAGGGCUCCCUCCGGGGUAAGGCC
rfam:Populus trichocarpa scaffold_5_contig_144, whole genome shotgun sequence.